rnacentral:lncRNA from 1 species
CACAACAGUGUGGGAGUGAAGCUUCUGAAAAUGGGAUGAUAUAAUGUCUGCCUAGGGCCAAAUGGGAGGUGCUUCCCCCAGCCAACUGAUACUCUGUGACUUCAUGGAAUAUAUAAGAACGUUUGCCCAGUAUGCCAUGGCUUGCAACUAUGAUGCCCAAAACAUAACAUUAUCUUCAUCAUUCCCAAAUUAUUUAUAAGAGUGAUUUUCCUGGUAGACUACAACUCAUCGUAUCAUUUGAUUUAGAAGCAGUUCCACAAUUUACCAGUUGCUUUUCUUAUGUCACUUGAAAUAGAACAGUAUGGGAGUAAAGUUUAGCAUAGUGUACAUUUUCUGGGAGUUUUGUGUUUGCUUUCUUUCUUACUAUUAUUGGAUCAAAGCACUUUUACCUCCUGUGUAUUAGUUAUGCAUAUCUACAGAUCUGAAACCUUUUUGAUUCAAAAAUCCCUAGGGGCAGAAAGCCUCUGGGAUAAAUACUUAACAAAUUAUGUUUUAACAAUUACAUAAGAAAGAGAUGGUCCCUGGCUCAUUAAGAACAACACAUGACCAGUUACUUCCUUGUAUUUGUAGCAUUACUGGACUGGCAGAUGAAGGGAAAAACCAUUACCCAUAGAUAGAGUUUAGCUUUAUUCAUUGAGCUAGCCAGCAGCUUUCUCCCAAUAUGGACAUGCUCCUGGUGGGUAGGGAGAAAUUGGGCAGUAUGAUAAUAGAGUCACUUGGGCUCCUUUCAUUAAAAUAUCUAUAUGCAAAAUAUUAGAUUUAUGUCACCCUAAAAUAUAUCUGCAGCCCCACUGAUAUUUUUAUGUAAUUACAUAAAUACAUAAUCUAAUACAUAACAGCCUCCCACGCUUUCAAGGGUCCACCUUUUCUGGCAUAUUUGGGAAGGGGGAACUUGUUCUCAUAUUACUCCUAAUGCAAUCAAGGGGAUUUGCUUCACUCCUUGACUGUUCUGACACCUCCCAGCCACAGCCCCCUAUAUUUGUUAUAUCUUCUUGUUCAUGAACUUCAGCAAACUAGUAAGUGUGGGAGUGACUGCAUUCACCUCCACCACUCUACCCUUUUGCUGCUCACAUGACCUCCACUCAAGAUCAUUCAAGUAUGUCCUAUGGGGAAGAGGACUACAACGGUCAAUCUCUAGGAGAUAUUUUCUCAGGGACAUAGUCUAGGUCCUUGCUCUGCCACUUUCAAGUUCUGCCCCAUCUCAGUCCAUCUUUCAACCUAUCUUUGUAGCCAAAUGUGGUAACUGAGUACUUCUCUGUUCAGUGUUCUAGAUGCUGGGAAAAUGAGAGGAGAUAUGAUGGUGGUUCCUGCUCGAAAGGAGAUUUAUAUUCUGGUGGUAGGAAAGACACAAUUAAAAAUAAUCAAAUAAGAUUCUUUCAGAAACCAACGAGAGCUCUGAGGAAAAAACACUUUUCAUGCAUCACAUACCAUGUCCCUAUCUUUACAUAUCUGUUGUUUGGCUCCCCUUAGGGAUUGCCACCACCAUGAACAGAAAGGAAUUUAUUUAUCUUCCUAUCUCCCGUACAGAUUAUGGAGGAUGCAGCAGCUCCCAGCAGUGCAUUUCUCACUACCUGAUUUGUUCAGUCUAGAAUAAUCUCCUGCUGUACUUCAGUCAUCCUCCCCCAGGUCUGAUUGGGUCAAGGUUUCCCUGUCAUCAUGUGGUGCAGGUUGUCUGCUCAUCUGGUUGUCAUCCACUGGGUGAUCACAGGAUCCAAAUAGACACUCAGCCCCAAGAGUAAUUCUCAGAGCAGUCAGAAGACACAUUGAGAAAAAGAAGCGCAGUCUUCACAGAUGCCCCUGCCCACACCAAGGAAACCAUUUAACAACUUCAUGAGUCUUCUUGACUGGCAGAUGUUUGCUCUUUACACUGGAAUCUUCAGGGAUAUAAAAGAUAGAACUAUUUCAGGCCUGCCUUCUCCCUAUGGAUCAUCUCUUAGCUAUACAAAGGUUGAGCAGAAACUUUACUAUUAAUAUUUUUCCCCAUUAGAUCCGAAGCCAAGCCAAUUUCUUCACCUGGGCAUUCUCCUUUCAUCUUUAUUUGAAGGGAAUCAGUUUCAGGACCCAUUCCUCUCUCCAAAUAACUCUCCAGGAAAGUGUGGCUGAUUGUGCUUCAGUUACAUAGGAAACAUACUUAUCAGUUUUGGGCAUAACACAAACUAUGAAGGAUGACAAAUAUGUUUUAAAGCAUCUCUUCUUAUGACCUAUUAAUAAUGUUGAAUACAUCAGGCCAAAAAUAGAUGACAGAAUCAAAUUUUUUUUUCUUAAUAGGAUGGAAUGAUGUGUUUCAACCAUGGAUAUAUGAUAUGAUGGGGAGAUAUAU